GGUCAAGGAUGGACUCGCGGCCUAUCAGGUAGUUGGUGAGGUAACGGCCCACCAAGCCUACGACGGGUAGCCGGCCUGAGAGGGUGACCGGCCACACUGGGACUGAGACACGGCCCAGACUCCUACGGGAGGCAGCAGUGGGGAAUAUUGCACAAUGGGCGCAAGCCUGAUGCAGCAACGCCGCGUGAGGGACGACGGCCUUCGGGUUGUAAACCUCUUUUAGUAGGGAAGAAGCGAAAGUGACGGUACCUGCAGAAAAAGCACCGGCUAACUACGUGCCAGCAGCCGCGGUAAUACGUAGGGUGCAAGCGUUGUCCGGAAUUAUUGGGCGUAAAGAGCUCGUAGGCGGUUUGUCGCGUCUGCUGUGAAAACCCGAGGCUCAACCUCGGGCCUGCAGUGGGUACGGGCAGACUAGAGUGCGGUAGGGGAGAUUGGAAUUCCUGGUGUAGCGGUGGAAUGCGCAGAUAUCAGGAGGAACACCGAUGGCGAAGGCAGAUCUCUGGGCCGUAACUGACGCUGAGGAGCGAAAGCGUGGGGAGCGAACAGGAUUAGAUACCCUGGUAGUCCACGCCGUAAACGUUGGGAACUAGAUGUGGGGACCAUUCCACGGUCUCCGUGUCGCAGCUAACGC
rnacentral:rRNA from 1 species